GUUUGAUCAUGGCUCAGAUUGAACGCUGGCGGCAGGCUUAACACAUGCAAGUCGAGCGGUAACAGGGGGAGCUUGCUCCCCGCUGACGAGCGGCGGACGGGUGAGUAAUGCAUAGGAAACUGCCCAGUAGUGGGGGAUAGCCCGGGGAAACCCGGAUUAAUACCGCAUACGCCCUUUGGGGGAAAGCAGGGGAUCUUCGGACCUUGCGCUAUUGGAUGUGCCUAUGUCGGAUUAGCUAGUUGGUGGGGUAAGAGCCUACCAAGGCGACGAUCCGUAGCUGGUCUGAGAGGAUGAUCAGCCACAUCGGGACUGAGACACGGCCCGAACUCCUACGGGAGGCAGCAGUGGGGAAUAUUGGACAACGG
rnacentral:rRNA from 12 species